rnacentral:rRNA from 1 species
AACGAACGCUGGCGGCAGGCUUAACACAUGCAAGUCGAACGCAUCCUUCGGGGUGAGUGGCAGACGGGUGAGUAACGCGUGGGAACGUGCCCUUCAGUUCGGGAUAACCCGGGGAAACUUGGGCUAAUACCGGAUACGUGCGAGAGCAGAAAGAUUUAUCGCUGAAGGAUCGGCCCGCGUGUGAUUAGCUAGUGGGUGGGGUAAUGGCCCACCAAGGCGACGUUCAGUAGCUGGUCGGAGAGGAUGAUCAGCCACAUUGGGACUGAGACACGGCCCAAAGUCCUACGGAAGGCAGAAGUGGGGAAUAUUGAAAAAUGGGGGCAAGCCUGAUCCAGCCGUGCCGCGUGAGUGAUGAAGGCCUUAGGGUUGUAAAGCUCUUUCGUACGUGACGAUAAUGACGGUACCGGAAGAAGAAGCCCCGGCUAACUUCGUGCCAGCCGCCGCUGUAA